rnacentral:pre_miRNA from 11 species
GACCGCACAGGAUAAUCGAUCUUCCCGUGCGGUCGGUAUAAAGGGAUCGCACGGGAUAAUUGAUUAUCCCAUGCGGUC